rnacentral:rRNA from 1 species
GCUCGAGUGGCGAACGGGUGAGUAACACGUGAGUAACCUGCCCUUGACUUUGGGAUAACUUCAGGAAACUGGGGCUAAUACCGGAUAGGAGCUCCUGCUGCAUGGUGGGGGUUGGAAAGUUUCGGCGGUUGGGGAUGGACUCGCGGCUUAUCAGCUUGUUGGUGGGGUAGUGGCCUACCAAGGCGGCGACGGGUAGCCGGACUGAGAGGUUGGUCGGCCACAUUGGGACUGAGAUACGGCCCAG